GAUGAAGAACGCAGUGAAAUGCGAUAAUUAAUGUGAAUUGCAGAAUUCAGUGAAUCAUCGAGUCUUUGAGCGCACAUUGCGCCCCCUGGUAUUCCGGGGGGCAUGCCUGUCCGAGCGUCAUUGCUGCCCUCAAGCACGGCUUGUGUGUUGGGCUUCCGUCCCUGGCAACGGGGACGGGCCCAAAAGGCAGUGGCGGCACCAUGUCUGGUCCUCGAGCGUAUGGGGCUUUGUCACCCGCUCCCGUAGGUCCAGCUGGCAGCUAGCCUCGCAACCAAUCUUUUUAACCAGGUUGACCUCGGAUCAGGUAGGGAUACCCGCUGAACUUAAGCAUAUCAAUAAGCGGAGGA
rnacentral:misc_RNA from 1 species